UACGUAGGGACCGAGCGUUGUCCGGAAUCAUUGGGCGUAAAGAGCGUGUAGGCGGCCAAUUAAGUCCUGCGUGAAAUCUCGGGGCUCAACCCCGAGCGGUCGUGGGAAACUGGUUGGCUAGAGUGCGGGAGAGGAGAGUGGAAUUCCUGGUGUAGCGGUGAAAUGCGCAGAUAUCAGGAAGAACACCCGUGGCGAAGGCGGCUCUCUGGAACGCAACUGACGCUGAGGCGCGAAAGCUAGGGGAGCAAACAGG
rnacentral:rRNA from 1 species